AUCUCAACUUGAAUGUUGCAUAGUGAUUCCCGAGACUAUUCAAUUUUUCCAAGAUUGCUCCGAUUAAAUUAAUCACAACUACAAUUAAUUACAUCUUUGCUUUCUCUCAUAGCUUCAAAAUCUGGGUAGCUUCAUUAGUUGUCGUAGCUACAUACCGUCUACGGUGGUACAGGUGGUGUCGAGGUGUCGUGGUGGAGACCAUCACCAACCUCGCAACAAACGGGUGAUGAUGAUGGUGGUUAUAGAUCUACAAAAUGUGAUCAGAAGAGAGAAAAUCUCUUGAUGAAGGGAGAUUUGCCGGAUAAUUAGUGGAGAUUAUGGCAAUGGAAAUCAACUUAAUCAAGCAAGGUGUAGGAAAAUGGUUGAGAUGAACAAGAGGAGGAAAUUUACAGUAAAGGUGUAUAUAAUUUCUACCAUGUACCAUCUCCCUCUAAUUAGUCCUUUAUGGCGAAUACCGAUGCGACGAUAAUAGACGGUAUUAGGAUUUGAUUGGGGGUUGUUGUGCGUGAUACAGAGGGGCAUAUCGAUCAAUAUAUCAUUGCCGCGGCUGAGCCGCCGAGCGAAGGUGUAGAGCGGGUGGAGCAUGGUUGUGACGGAGGCUAUGGCAGCAAGGUUUGGAUUGGUUAUAGCUAGGCAGUUGGGGUACGAUUGUUUAGAUCUUGUGUCUGAUUCAUUUCUUGAGUUAGGAGGGGUUAUGUGAGUCUUUCCGAUUUCACAUGUUAAAAAGAGCCGGGAGUUUAGAGUUCUUUCGACAUGGGUUAUUGAAGUAUUAGUAUAGAAAUAUACAGGGUGUGCCUAAUUAAACAAUGAUCUGUUUCUAGCCUUUAUUAUUCGGGCUCUGGGAUGAUGUGAUACAUGGUAAUAUACUUCGUACUCUA